rnacentral:rRNA from 1 species
CCUACGGGUGGCAGCAGUGAGGAAUAUUGGUCAAUGGGCGGAAGCCUGAACCAGCCAAGUAGCGUGCAGGAUGACGGCCCUACGGGUUGUAAACUGCUUUUAUACGGGAAUAACGCUCCUUACGUGUAUUGCUCUGCAUGUACCGUAUGAAUAAGGACCGGCUAAUUCCGUGCCAGCAGCCGCGGUAAUACGGAGGGUCCGAGCGUUAUCCGGAUUUAUUGGGUUUAAAGGGUGCGUAGGCGGUGUGUCAAGUUAGAGGUGAAAUGUCCGGGCUUAACCCGGGAACUGCCGCUAAUACUGUUGAUCUAGAGAGUAGAGGCGGUAGGCGGAAUGUAUGGUGUAGCGGUGAAAUGCUUAGAGAUCAUACAGAACACAGAUUGCGAAGGCAGAUGACCAAUCUAUAUCUGACGUGGAGGAACGAAAGCGUGGGGAGCAAACAGGAUUAGAUACACGAGUAGUC